rnacentral:rRNA from 1 species
UAAUUUUUUAUUUGUGGAUAAUAUAUACAAAUUAAAUUAUUAUUUAAAUUCUUAAUAAUUUUUAAAUUUUAGUAGAAAUAUAUUUUAUAUUAUUAAUUUUAAAAUUUUAUUAAUUAAAAAUAUUCAAAAUAUAAAAAUUUAAUUUAAUAAUUUAAUUUAAUGUAAAAUUAUUAUUUAAAAUAUUUAUUUAGUAAAGAAAUUUUAGUCAAUUUAUAUUAAUUAAUUUUAUAUUAAUUAAAUAGUUAAAAUUAUAGUUUAAUUUUUGUAAAAAAAAAUAUUAAAUUAAAGUUUUAAUUAUAAAGUUAAUUUUAUAAUUAAAAUAAAAUUUAAUUAUUAAAAAAAAAUAAUUUUAAAUAUUAUUAUAUAAUUAAAAAUUUUAAUUUAAAUUUUUUUAUAAUUAAUUAUUUAUAAAAAAAUUAUUUUAAAAAUAAUUUAUUUUAAAUAAUAUAAUAUUUUUAUUAAUUAUUUCUAUAAAAAAAUAAUAUUUAAAUGAGUAUCAUUAAAUUAUAAAUAAUUAAAAAAAUGAAUUUAUGAAUUCGGCAAAAUUAUUUUUAUUUGUUUAUUAAAAACAUAAUUUAAAGAUAAAUUAUUUGAUUUUAGAUAUAUUCUGCUCAAUGAUUUAUUAAUUAAAUAGCUGUUUUAAAAUACUAAGGUAGCAAAAUAAUUUGUAUUUUAAUUGAAUAAUAGAAUGAAUGAAUAAAUAAAAAAUAAUCUUUAUUUUAAUUAUAUAUUUAAAUUUAUUUUUAAUUUAAAAAGAUUAAUUAUUUUUAAAAGACAAAAAGACCUUAAAAAUUUAAUAAAAUUUUAAUUUAUUUAUUUGGGGUAAUUUAAUAAUUUAAUAGAAUAAUUUAUUUAAAAAUAAAAAAUUUAAAUUAAUUUUAGAAAAUUUAAAAUUACUUUAGGGAUAACAGGAUAAUUAAAAUUAAUAGAUUAAAUUAAAAUUUUAGAUUAUUACCUCGAUGUUGAAUUAAAAAAUUAGUUUAAAAUAGAAAUUAAAUAAAAAAGUUUGUUCAACUUUUAAAUUUUUACAUGAUUUGAGUUUAGACCGAUGUAAAUUAGGUUGGAUUUUAUCUUUAUAAUUUAGAGAAAUUAAUUUAGUACGAAAGGAUUUAAAAUUAAUUU